UGCCGCGCCUGAUGCGAACUGCAAGAAAUGACGGUGGUGUGCUGUCGGACAUUUUGGCGGUAACCUUUACGACGAAGUGGAGUGGUGGAGUUGCUAGGAGGCGCAAACAAAGAAAGCAUUCUUUCGAUCUGUGAGUGCAACGAGGAAAACGCGGCUGCUUUGGAUGAAAAAGUAUCUGAGAAGCCUGCAGAAAGUGACCACGCUUCCAGCAACCCAAUCCCUUGUCCUGAUGCACUACUUGAACUGAAGGCACAAGAACUUGGCAACAGGUGUCCACCAGGCCCAUGCGUUUUGAAAGAGAAUGGCAACUUCAAAAUUGCCUGCAAGGAAAA